rfam:Staphylococcus sp. HMSC078E07 Staphylococcus_spHMPREF2905-1.0_Cont106.1, whole genome shotgun sequence.
AAAUAAAAUAAAGCGCCUGGACAAAUAAUUAAAAUGUUAACCAUUUAGUAUUAAUUAAGAGAAUGCUAAUAGACAUAUUAAUUAUAUUGUAGACGAGGAGAAUAGUUAUCGAUAUAAUCGGCGGAUGCUAUUCCGGAUGUGGCACAUUCGUUAGCUUAUUAUUUAAAACAUAUAGGUAACUAGAUGUACAAAUAUAAUAAGAACGCCAAAU